GCGUGGGUAGCUCAGCGGUAGAGCGGCUGAUUUACACUCAGUUGGUCGGCGGUUCGAUCCCGUCCCUGCGCACCA
rnacentral:tRNA from 2 species